rnacentral:rRNA from 1 species
CCUACGGGAGGCAGCAGUGAGGAAUAUUGCACAAUGGAGGAAACUCUGAUGCAGCGACGCCGCGUGAGUGAUGAAGUAUUUCGGUAUGUAAAGCUCUAUCAGCAGGGAAGAAAGGCCCCGAAAGGGGAGAUGACGGUACCUGAGUAAGAAGCCCCGGCUAACUACGUGCCAGCAGCCGCGGUAAUA